GCGGCAGCGGGGGGAAGCCGGGGCGGGGCCCGGGGCCCAUCCCCGCCGCUGUGCCCCGCUGAGGGGGCUGCGCCCAGCGGCGCUUCCAAGCCCCACCCUGCACUUCAGAUAAUUCUGCCCUUUGGGAAAACACUGAUAUCAAGCACACUUCCUUCAGAAAUGAAGUUGGAUCUGUAACCUUUGACACAACCACCAGAGGAAGGUCCUGCAACCACACACAUCCUGGCAAAAGAGCCCCCAUGCUGCUCAGAGAUGAAUAUUUAUGUCAUGGAAAGUUCUCCAGAUUUCCUCAGGCUGAAGUCACACCAUCAGGUAGAGAUGGCAGCUGGCAGUAACCCACAUCAGCAAAAAUCAGAAAAGCUGCAGCAGGAUCACAGAAAAGAGCUUGGACCAGCACAGCACCAGGGCAGAUGGAUAUCAGCUAUCACAGACAAAUCGUAAAAUCGGGCACGUACUUAUGCAGCAGUGCCAACAAGCCAGCAUCAAACAUCAGUGAGCAAAGCCAUGGGC